rnacentral:rRNA from 1 species
UAGUAGCGGCGAGCGAAGCGGGAAGAGCUCAAAUUUAUAAUCUGGCACCUUCGGUGUCCGAGUUGUAAUCUCUAGAAAUGUUUUCCGCGUUGGACCGCACACAAGUCUGUUGGAAUACAGCGGCAUAGUGGUGAGACCCCCGUAUAUGGUGCGGACGCCCAGCGCUUUGUGAUACAUUUUCGAAGAGUCGAGUUGUUUGGGAAUGCAGCUCAAAUUGGGUGGUAAAUUCCAUCUAAAGCUAAAUAUUGGCGAGAGACCGAUAGCGAACAAGUACCGUGAGGGAAAGAUGAAAAGCACUUUGGAAAGAGAGUUAACAGUACGUGAAAUUGUUGGAAGGGAAACGCUUGAAGUCAGACUUGCUUGCCGAGCAAUCGGUUUGCAGGCCAGCAUCACUUUUCCGGGAUGGAUAAUGGUAGAGAGAAGGUAGCAGUUUCGGCUGUGUUAUAGCUCUCUGCUGGAUACAUCUUGGGGGACUGAGGAACGCAUUGUGCCUUUGGCGGGGGUUUCGACCUCUUCACACUUAGGAUGCUGGUGGAAUGGCUUUAAACGACCCGUCUUGAAACACGGACCAAGGAGUCUAACAUGCUUGCGAGUAUUUGGGUGUCAAACCCGGAUGCGUAAUGAAAGUGAAUGGAGGUGGGAACCGCAAGGUGCACCAUCGACCGAUCUGGAUUUUUAAUGAUGGAUUUGAGUAAGAGCACGUAUGUUGGGACCCGAAAGAUGGUGAACUAUGCCUGAAUAGGGCGAAUCCAGAGGAAACUCUUGUGGAGGCUCGUAGCGGUUCUGACGUGCAAAUCGAUCGUCAAAUUUGGGUAUAGGGGGCGAAAGACUAAUCGAACCAUCU